rnacentral:misc_RNA from 1 species
UGCCCCUCACUUGCUAGCACGUCUAGAUCAGCGAGGAUGUAGGCAUGUGUAGCGUAUUUUGUCGGGUUUCGAGAUCAAGAAUCGAUGUCCCUUUGUUGUUGGUUUUCCGAGAAUCCUUGACCCUUGACCCUAUGUUGGCCACCCGGCAAAAUGCCCCUCACUUGCUACCACGUCUAGAUCAACCAGGGCGUAGGCAUGUGUAGCGUAUUUUGUCGGGUUUCGAGAUCAAGAAUCGAUGUCCCUUUGUUGGUUGGUUUUCCGAGAAUCCUUGACCCUUGAUUUGUUACUUUCGCAUCGUUCGGUGCAUUCUGGGGGAUGUUUUGGCUUUUGGUGGCUUACUUGGCCUUUUGGCUGGGUUUGUUGCUAUUGGUCGGGCGGCUUUCGGGAAUGUCGACCGUGGAGGUGCAUGAGUGGUGUUUGGUUUGUUACGUGUGGAUGGCUGUUUGCUUGCGCAACAACGUUCACGCUGCAUACCUCUUCAGUUUUGCGGCAAGGCUUGGUUUGGCCUGUGCAUAUUGUGGGUUUCCUGUGUUGCAUACCUAGUUGAAGGAAAAGUGUGGGUUUUACGAUUUUCAUUUUCGUCUUGCGUCGUUCUUUCGGCAUGGGAUGAGCAACGAAGCGAUCUUUAUGAUCCAUCGUGCUGUUGCGUUUGCAACAAUGAUGUGGCCUAUGAAGCAUCGUUUGGUCUCUUGUAUACGGAAGCUCAUUUGGGCUUGGGUCUUUAUAAGAUCUUCGUUAUGCCCUUGUUAAGCGUUCUCGCUUCUCCUAAACGAUUG